AAAUUGAAGAGUUUGAUCAUGGCUCAGAUUGAACGCUGGCGGCAGGCCUAACACAUGCAAGUCGAACGGUAACAGGAAGCAGCUUGCUGCUUUGCUGACGAGUGGCGGACGGGUGAGUAAUGUCUGGGAAACUGCCUGAUGGAGGGGGAUAACUACUGGAAACGGUGGCUAAUACCGCAUAACGUCGCAAGACCAAAGAGGGGGACCUUCGGGCCUCUUGCCAUCAGAUGUGCCCAGAUGGGAUUAGCUUGUUGGUGAGGUAACGGCUCACCAAGGCGACGAUCCCUAGCUGGUCUGAGAGGAUGACCAGCCACACUGGAACUGAGACACGGUCCAGACUCCUACGGGAGGCAGCAGUGGGGAAUAUUGCACAAUGGGCGCAAG
rnacentral:rRNA from 2 species